UCCGAAUUGGUGUAGUGGCUAACAUUUGACGCUCUCAUUUACAAUUGUUCUCUCUCUACCAGUGUUGAACCAUGUGAUCUUGUUGAUCCGUCAAGCCCGGGGUUCGAUUCCCUGAUUCGGAG